rnacentral:rRNA from 1 species
CCUACGGGGGGCAGCAGUGGGGAAUUUUGCGCAAUGGGGGAAACCCUGACGCAGCGACGCCGCGUGAGCGAUGAAGGUUUUCGGAUCGUAAAGCUCUGUCACAGGGGACGAUGAUGACGGUACCCUGGGAGGAAGCCCCGGCUAACUACGUGCCAGCAGCCGCGGUAACACGUAGGGGGCGAGCGUUGUCCGGAAUUACUGGGCGUAAAGAGCGCGUAGGUGGUUAAGUAAGUCAGGUGUGAAAGGCCAGGGCUCAACCCUGGGACUGCACUUGAAACUGCUUAACUUGAGGGCAGGAGAG